rnacentral:rRNA from 1 species
AUGGAUGUUGGCUCCAACAAUUCUCAUUGGUCUCAAACCAAUGACAUGCAUUUGGAAGACCAUGAGUUCGAGGUGGACGAGGAGGGUGAGGGCAUUGUGGACGCACCGAAAGGAAGAGCGGGUAAUUACACCAACGCCGAUGACAUCUUACUAUGCAAUACUUGGUUGCAAGUGUCGAGGGAUCCAUCCGUUGGAGGUCAUCAAAGUAGAGAUGCUUAUUGGGGGCGGAUGAAAGAACACUUUGAUAUUCACAACGUGAGUGGAAUUGACCGCUCCGAGAGAUCACUUCGGUCCCGAUGGUCGACAAUCAACUCGGAUUGUCAAAGGUGGGCGGCCUGUCAAAAGGCGGUUGACAAGUUGAACCCAGGUGGCACAAAUGAGGACGAUAGAUACAACAUUGCGCAAAACUUGUUCAAAGAAGAGGAGAGGAAAACCAAGAAGGGGAAGAUCAAGAAAGGAAGGAGCAACAAACGCAAGCGAACAAUUGAGUUGGAUGAUGAUGAUGAGGAGGAUGAUGCAUCAAGUGAUGACGGCAAGAGAAGCCCCACACCCAACUCGGUUUCAUACUCGAAGCCAAAGCGACCGGAUGGGUGCAAGAAAGACAAAACCGAAAAGAAGAAGAGGAAAGGAGAUGAUGAGAUCAAAAAUGCUAUGGAAGCUAUUGUGAAGGCAAGAAAAGAAGCCAAUGAGGUGAGGAAAAUGGCAAGGAACCAAGAUGCCACGGCCGAGGAGAGGAGGUUGACGGCCGAGGAGAGGAGGAUGGCGGCCGAGGAGAGGAAGGUGGCUUUGGAGGAGAGAAGAGCCAUGGUUCGUGCAAUGGGUGGCGGUGGCUUCGGCGCCAUGGGUGGCAUGGGUGGCUUCGGAGGUACCGUGGGCGGUUUAGGUGCCAUGGGAGGCAUGGGUGGCUUUGGAGCACCCCCGACGCUAUAUGCCGUUGAAGAUCUUGCCAACACCGUCGGAGCUUCACGUGAUGCGGUGCGCGAUGAGGAGAGGGAGGAAGAUUCAUCUUCGGAGGCGGAAUAA